AGAAGGAUAACUGAGAUGGAGAUCUGUCAGAGAAGAGAGGAAGAGGGGAAAGCUUCAGUCCAGACCAUUGGGCACAUGUGUACCCAGUCUAGUGAUCCAGGAUCUUUCAAUUCUCCUGCGCUGCUUCACCGUCCAGGCUGGGUUGGACUCCAGAAUAGUGGCUCUGAGAUUGGCCCAGCCGUGAUCAACGAAAUGUUGGACUAGAGGGAUAUGUAAAUUUUUAUGUUUAUUAAUAUUAUAUCUGUGCUGUGUGAAUCUAGUUAGCAUGGUAUUUCCUGAUUCACCAACAUAUUGCUUUGAACACUGUAGGCAUCUUAUUAAAUAAAUGAUAUUUUUCUG